GCCCUCUUUGGCAGCCCAUAUACAAAAUUUGGAAGGAUACAGAGAUGAGCAUGGCCCCUGGGCAAGGAUGACACCCACAUUCACGAAGCAGUCUAGAUUUUC
ensembl:snRNA U6 U6 spliceosomal RNA